rnacentral:rRNA from 1 species
AUGGCGGCAACGAGGGUGGAGGGCGAGCCGCCGCCGUUCACCCAUGAGGACAAUCGCCGCUUCCUCCAGAUGCUCCGCGACAAGAAGCAAAUGCUGGGAGUCGCCAGCCCCAAGGCCGUGGAGGUGCAGUUCCAGGACCUCACCGUGGAGAUCCACGAGCGCAUCGGCCGCCGGGAGCCGCCGACGCUGCCCAACUGCGUCGUCAACGCCGCCCAGGAGUUGGCAUCAUAUUCGCACAUGUGUACUACAAGGAAAAGAGCAAUCAAAAUUAUAAAUGGAGCAAGCGGAACAAUUCGACCGUCAAGGUAA